GAUGAAGAACGUAGCGAAAUGCGAUAAGUAAUGUGAAUUGCAGAAUUCAGUGAAUCAUCGAAUCUUUGAACGCACAUUGCGCCCGCCAGCAUUCUGGCGGGCAUGCCUGUUCGAGCGUCAUUUCAACCCUCGACUUCCCUUUGGGGAAAUCGGCGUUGGGGACCGGCUGUAUACCGCCGGCCCCGAAAUGAAGUGGCGGCCCGUCCGCGGCGACCUCUGCGUAGUAAUCCAACUCGCACCGGAACCCCGACGUGGCCACGCCGUAAAACCCCCGACUUCUGAACGUUGACCUCGGAUCAGGUAGGAAUACCCGCUGAACUUAAGCAUAUCAAUAAGCGGAGGA
rnacentral:misc_RNA from 1 species